rnacentral:rRNA from 1 species
UACAGAGGUGGCAAGCGUUGUUCGGAAUUACUGGGCGUAAAGGGCGCGUAGGCGGCCUGUUAAGUCGAACGUGAAAUCCCCGGGCUCAACCCGGGAACUGCGUCCGAUACUGGAUGGCUUGAAUUCGGGAGAGGGAUGCAGAAUUCCAGGUGUAGCGGUGAAAUGCGUAGAUAUCUGGAGGAAUACCGGUGGCGAAGGCGGCAUCCUGGACCGAGAUUGACACUGAUGAGCGAAAGCUAGGGGAGCAAACGGG